rnacentral:rRNA from 1 species
GCAGGCUAACGCUUGAAUACAUUAGCAUGGAAUAAUGAAAUAGGACAUCGCAUUCUAUUUUGUUGGUUUCUAGGACCGAUGUAAUGAUUAAUAGGGAUAGUUGGGGGCAUUAGUAUUCAAUUGUCAGAGGUGAAAUUCUUGGAUUUAUUGAAGACUAACUACUGCGAAAGCAUUUGCCAAGGAUGUUUUCAUUAAUCAAGAACGAAAGUUAGGGGAUCGAAGACGAUCAGAUACCGUCGUAGUCUUAACCAUAAACUAUGCCGACUAGGGAUCGGAUGAUGUUGAUUUUUUAAUGACUCAUUCGGCGCCUUACGGGAAACCAAAGUGUUUGGGUUCCGGGGGGAGUAUGGUCGCAAGGCUGAAACUUAAAGGAAUUGACGGAAGGGCACCACCAGGCGUGGAGCCUGCG